GAAAAAAUAUUUAUUACAGAAAAAACAACAUCCACAUCAAUAAUAAUAAUAAUGAUAAUAAUAAUAAUGAUGAUAAUAAUGAUAAUAAUAGUAAUAAUAAUGAUAAUAAUAAUAAAAAUCUUCGUCGAACAGGUAAAAAGGUACACACACACAUGUACACACACACACACGUACACACACAUCUUUGUACACACACAAUAGGCCUAUAUACAAUUUAUAUACACACACACAGACACACACACACACACACAUACAUAUAAUUACACGUAUGUUUUGCGUUUUCUACUUAAGACUAGAUUCUGUUCUCCUAUUGGUCGAGAGGUCAACCAAUAGGGAGCGAGCAGGUCAUGUAGAGGUCACAGGAGGUCACGUGACUCAUUGGCAGUAGGCGGAAGGGUCAAAAAUAUGGUUGGCGUGAGUUUUAGGUAAGUUACCCCUCGAUGGCAGCGCUGUCUUGGCCUCGGUCUGGGUCGCGGCAGCACUCAGGUUCAUGGUCGUUUGUUUGCGUUUUUCGAUCGGAUCACUUUAAUGGAUUAUUGGAGUUUGUGUGUUUGUGGAUGUUUUCUCUUCACUGUUUGUUUAUUUCCUGCUCUCUGUUUGUGUGUUUGGCUGUUUUUUUUGUUUGUACACGUAAUACUGUAUGUUUGUUUAUCUAAUUUACUUGUUUUAGCAUAAUUUUCUCCUUUCAUUUGUUGUUUUUAUUGUUUCCUAAUUUUUAACUAAUUUAUUUUCUUAUUAAUUAUCUUUUCGUCAAUUUUAACUCAUUUUCUUUCAUUAGUUUUCUUUUCAAUUAUCGUUUCCUCAUUUUCAACUCAUUUCUUUUCUUCUUAAUUUUCCUUUCCUUCACUUUUAACUAAUUUUCUCUAUUCGUUUUCUUUUCAUUUAUCUUUUCCUUCACUUUUAACUCAUUUUCCGUCAUUUAUUUUCUUUCAAAUUUCCCUUUCCUUAACUUUUAACUCUUUUCCCCUCAUUUCUUCUUAAUCUUCCUUUCCUUCACUUUCAACUCAUUUUCCUCUUUUAUUUCACAUUCAAUUUUGGUAUUUAUCUCAUUUCUUCAUUUCCUCGCGUUUCCUCUCGCACACUUUCACCUCCUCAUCCCUCACUUUCCUUUCAUGUUCACACUUUGCUCGUUAACAAAGACAUUUAUUUAGGUUUAUCGAGUUUAUUUACAAGUUCUGAGUUUCUGAGUAUUUGUAUUUAAGAGGCUAUUCACUUUUACGAUAAAGAGCCGAAGGUAUAAGUUCGGGUGAGUACAAAGGUCGGUUUUAGGGGACGUAUGACAAGUUCGGGUCAGUACAAAGGUCGGUUUUAGGGGACGUAUGACAAGUUCGGGUCAGUACAAAGGUUGGUUUUAGGGGACGUAGGACAAGUUCGGGUCAGUACAAAGGUCGGUUUAAGGAGACAGACUUUUCUAGAGACCCAAAACUUCACGGAUUAGACUUGGAAAACGGCCCCUUAACAGACCUUUCUAGGGACCCAAAAGUUCACGGAUUGGACUUGGAAAACGGCCCCUUAACAGACCUUUCUAGAGACCCAAAACUUCACGGAUUGGACUUGUAAAACGGCCCCUUAACUGACCUUUCUAUGGACCCAAAACUUCACGGAUUGGACUUGUAAAACGGCCCCUUAACUGACCUUUCUAGGGACCCAAAACUUCACGGAUUGGACUUGGAAAACGGCCCCUUAACUGAC